AGUGAACGCUGGCGGUAGGCCUAACACAUGCAAGUCGAACGGCAGCACAGGAGAGCUUGCUCUCUAGGUGGCGAGUGGCGGACGGGUGAGGAAUACAUCGGAAUCUGCCCAGUCGUGGGGGAUAACGUAGGGAAACUUACGCUAAUACCGCAUACGACCUUCGGGUGAAAGAGGGGGAUCGCAAGACCUCUCGCGAUUGGAUGAGCCGAUGUCGGAUUAGCUAGUUAGCGGGGUAAUGGCCCACCAAGGCGACGAUCCGUAGCUGGUCUGAGAGGAUGAUCAGCCACACUGGAACUGAGACACGGUCCAGACUCCUACGGGAGGCAGCAGUGGGGAAUAUUGGACAAUGGGCGCAAGCCUGAUCCAGCCAUACCGCGUGGGUGAAGAAGGCCUUCGGGUUGUAAAGCCCUUUUGUUGGGAAAGAAAUCUUUCAGGCUAAUACCCUGGGAGGAUGACGGUACCCAAAGAAUAAGCACCGGCUAACUACGUG
rnacentral:rRNA from 1 species